GUAGACAAAAGAAAAGCAGAAAAAGAUGACAACACAACGGGCUGAAAUGACCAUAAUACCGGAAUUUUACUUUAACGGAAGAUAGCGGUGAGGGCUUGAACACUAAGGAAUUAAUGAGAGAUCAGCCCCUUUAGCGACUCAAAGCAUAUUAUAACUCCAGCUGGUCAAAAAGAGAGGAAAUAAAUAAUAUAACAGGAACAACUGGAAGAGCAAGUGCAGCAUCAGGUUGGUGCAUUUCUUCUGAUCAAAAGGUCGAAUUGCAACUGGUCUUUGAAGAGUGUGCUGGUGACAGUGUGCAACCUUUGCAGUAGCUCCUGGACUGGCCCUAGACUGCUGUCAAAUUAAACCAGCACUGUAAAGAAGAGAGCAAGUUGAAUGAAGUUGAAUGAAGGGGCAUCUUAAUUCCAAUCCUGGCUCUAAUGCUGACUGUAAGCAUGACCCCGGAUGAGUUAUUCACUCUCUCAGUCUCAGUCUCCUCAUCCACAAAGCAGGGAUCACAAUAAAUG
rnacentral:lncRNA from 10 species